rnacentral:antisense_RNA from 1 species
GGCGGCUGCAGCAGCGUGGAAAGGGGGGGUGACGACCCGCGGACGUAAGGCGGGCAGAUCUGGGGGGGCCCCGACUCCCCGGCGGCCAUGUAGUGGUGCGGGCGAAACUCUGGCCCCAGAUAGGACCGGGAACUAGAUCAAACCUACUUGGAUUCUUGUGAACCAUUCGUGUGAAUUAUUUGGAACUGGAAUUUCACACAGACCCGGGGAAUUUCUCAAAGUUCAAGACGGGUCAUAUUCCAUGGAAUAUGGAAGGAGUUGGUGGAGUGAUUUCACCUUUCUGAUCAAGAACUGAUAGCCAUUAAAACUCAGCUCCGCAAUAUAUCCUCCCACUCCAAGGGAGGGCUGAAAUGAUCACUUCGUUUUCUGUUACGGCUACUUUUAUAUUUUUCAACAUUACUGCUGGUCUGUAAGAGAACUAAAACAUCUGAUUUUCCUCAUUUCCUUGUAAAGAGGUGUUC